CUAGGCAGUGUCUCCCCCGAGGCUCUGGGGCAAUGAGGUCACAUGCACAAGAGUGGUCUGAAUUGUCUGAGGAAGGAGACUUCAAGGCGGCACUCUUCACUGUUCUCCUGGGGCUGGCCUGGAGAGAGGAAUUUCCACCCUUUCCCGCCGUGACCAGACCACUUUACAGCCUCUUCAGUGGGGGAUUUGCUCAAGAUGUAAAACAGAGUUUCAAUGUAAUUAACAAGGUAGAUGGCCUACAGAGGAGAGUCUAUGACUGCAACAGCGUGAAGUUAGAGUCAAUAACUGCUGGAGAAGGGGAAAUUUCACAAAUUUGCAGAAGUUAACCGUGAUCUGGCUCGACCAGUGGAUCAAAGAAGAAAUCACAAGGGAAUUUGGAAAGUAUCUAGAGAUAAAUGGGGAUGAAAACAGACAUAGUAAAGCUUAUAGGAUAUCACAAAGGCAAUGUUAAGGAGGAAUUUACAGCUCCAGACACCCAUAUCCAGUUAGCAGACAGAGGGGGUGGGGCUGAGGCUCAGUAGCAGAUUGCUAGCCUGCCGUGAAAGAGGCCCUGGGCUCAGUCCCCAACAUCGUGUAGACCAGGUAUCCUGGUACAUACAUGUAAUCCCAGCACACGAGAAGCAGAGGCAGGAGGAUCUGAAGUUCCAGGUCAGUUUUGGCUGCAUGGUGAGGUCAAGGCCAGCCUGGGCUACUUGUUAUCCUGCUUUAAAAACAGGAAGGGAAAUAAAGAUCUUAAAUCAACAACUUAACUUUCAACUCCAGAAUCUAGAAAAGGAACAAACAAAACCCAAAGGGAACAAAUGGAAGGAAAUAAUAACGAUUAGAGCAGAGGGAAGUCAGGAAACAGGAAAGCACCAGAAAACAUCCAGGAGACCAACAGGCAGCUCUCUGCAGUAAAAUAAAAUUGACAGAACUUUAACCCAGAGCUUCUCAACCUUCCUAAUGCUGCGACCCUUUAGUACAGUUCUCCAUGUUGUGGUGACCCCAACCAUAAAAUCGUUUUGCUAGUUCAUAACUGUGACUUUGCUACUGUUCUGAAUUGUAGUGUAAAUAUCUGCUAUUGUAACCCCUGUGAAAGGGUUGUUGACUUUCAAAGGGCUCGCGACCCACCCACAGGUUGAGAAUUUUUGCUUUAACUGGAUGAACACACACACACACACACACACACACAGAGAGAGAGAGAGAGAGAGAGAGAAAGAGAGUGAGAGAGAGAGAGAGAUUACUAAAAUCUGAAAUAGAAGUUGAUAGAUCAGGCAUGGUGGCACACACUUUCUUUUCAGCACUCAGGAGGCAGAGACAGACGGAUCUCUGAGUUCCAGGACGAUCAAGACUAUGUAGAGACCCUGUCACAGAAAACAAAAUGAAAGAAAGGAAGGACGACCAGAAGGAAGAAGUGAGACGCCACUGCUGAUUUCACAGGGAAGAAGGACUUUCCUGGCUGGACCUCCGAUGUGCAGAGCAAAUGUUCCAAAGAGCUGGGUCUCUGGCUUACCAAGCUAAGGCAUGAGGUUCGGUAUCACAGAAGAAUGGCUCAGGUGCACUGAAAGGAGGAGUUCUCCAUUAUUGCCAUCUGCCCACAGCUUAUCAAGUCUCAUCAGGACUGCUUGGAUCCUCUUCCUCCAUGCCCUGGCAAGGCUGCAUCAUCAGGGGCAAAACUGCGGCACCGCUGGCCUCUGUUGCUGAGUCUGAAAACAGAUUUCUCCAGAGCCAAGAGGAAUACUGUCAGCUGCCUCCUGUCCUUAUCUCCACGCUGCAAUGCUCUUUGUGUGACAGUACCUCACCAUUUGGGUAGCAAGCUGGGGAGGAAACUGAGACCCAGAGGGGUUGAUGAUACCUGGGACUACUCGGAGGGGGCCCCUGGAGCCUCAGGCAGGGAGAGCCAAGCGCAAACUUCUGAAGCUGUUAGCAGGGAGCCGAGCAUGCAGAGACACUCAAUAGAGGCGCCUCUCGCUCCCGCUGCUGCUCCCUUGCCUCUGGGAGCCUCGCCUAGAUGAUUCUUCAUGCCUCUCCCCAGCCUGCUGCCAGCGCUGCCAGGGGUCAGGGUGGGCACUAAACUUGCAUCAGAGGCAUCAUUCAAAUCCCAGCCAGGACUUUCAGGCGCUCUUACAGCUGGGAGAGGAGCACAAGGAACAGUCACUCUCCUCCAUUCAUGGUUGAUGUUCCUUCUCACAUGCUCCUAUGGUUGCACCCACUGAUGAGGUCUAGGGGCUGUGCUGUGGAGCUGCCCAGAUGUGAUGUCUGAUUUGCAGGAAUUCUUCCUAGUGGAUGAUGCAUCCUGCCCAGGACUUGGAACACAUUCCAGGCCCUCGAUCCUUACCUGUAACAUCGCUGGGACAGGAAGAAGAGGGCCAGAACUUCAGGACACCUGGGUGUCUUUGCCAUGGUCACAGGGCAAGAGAAAACAGUAAUACAGAAUAAUACAGUAACACAAGCAAGAAUUUGUGUUUCUCUGUCUACUGUCUACUGUUUCCACAGGGCCUGCCCAGCUCUGCAGUCUGCAGAGUGUCUGUCUUCCGGCCCCAUAGAGACAUGCAGCUGAGGAAGUCUAAGUCCAGGGCAGAGUGGCAUGUGGGAACAAGGCAGAGAGAGGAAUUUUGGUGGCUGUCAUCUCUCUGGCUUGAGCAAUUGGUGGACUGGGGAGGUUUUUUUUUUUUGUUUUUUUUUUUUUUUUUUUUUUUUUUUUUUUUGAGCUGAGCAGAGAGAGGGACAAGGGAUGUUGAGCCCUGCCCAUUGGAUCUGAGGGUUUUGGGAGAUAGGUCUACACAGCUAGCAUGGAGCUGAACUAGGACUUGAUCCAGGGGUGUGUAAUUUAAAGAAUGUUCACCCAGGCAGAAUGUGCAGCAUGUAGUCGGGUUAUUAAGGUCCAAGGGUGUGUGUGUGUGUGUGCGCGCGCGUGCGCGCGCCUGCACGCUCGUGUGUGAGGAUUUGGGUUUGAGGUCACCCAGCAGAAGGGAGAAACGGUGUCUUCAGGGAGGCUGUCCUGUCACAGUCCAUUGUGAACGCCGUACCCUGCAGGCACUGAGAGGCGGCUCCAGGAAGAGAGCAGGAAACAGCUUAAUUGAAAGCCUUGAAGGCCUCGUUCAGCAAGAUUAUGUGACUUGCCCAGGGUUGCCCAGCUAAGAAGUGGUAGAGGCAGGAGUCUCACAAAAUCUGUCUUAUUUUAUGGCUUCUGUCUCACGUUAUUAAUUUGAGUGUCUUACCUGGCUUGGGGGAGAGGAUUAGGAACCGCAGAGCGGGAGAGACUUAGUUUCUCCCAGUUCAGGCCAGCUUUGGCUAGCCAUUCAUGAUUGAAUCCCGAGUUGCAGGGGACACUGGAGGAAUUCUGGGUUGCAGAGCUAUAGGGAUGGUUCCAAUUUUAAUGCAGACAUGCUCUUGAUGGUAGUAGCACCUGUAAACUGGGGUAUAUUCUCCCUGUCCCACAAAGUGGUCUAUUGGCAUAUGCUGACUUUAGGACAGACAUUGUCUAAUGUGGCUUCCCCUUCUGCUCUUCUGCCCUUCACACAGAGGCAGAGAACAGGCACUGAACCUUGGGCAGACAGGGUCAAGGCCUCUGGAGGGACCCUUUGUGCCGCAUAGGCCAACGUGCUACAUAGACUAGCUUGCUUGACAGAAGGGCAGGGAGCUCGGGGCACCCCAGGCUGUGGUGGUGCAGCCACGGGGAAUGCCAGCAGCAACCAGGGAGUACGCGGUGUCAAAUGGGGUGCGUUACUCUGUGCAAAUUAAAAAUUAAAAUUAAUCAAACAUUCAAA